AUCCGACCCUCUAUGUAACCCUCCCAAAUAAUAAGCCCCUGCCAGGUUUUGAGCUAAGAGAUGAUCGGCAGUUCUCGCCAUCAAGUUUAAGUGCAGAAGAUGUGCAAACAGCAGACACUGUUCCACGGUCACCUUUCCACGCGCCCACGUGGGCUCGUUUCCACUUUUGGCGUCUUGGCAUUUACACAGGCAGGCAUCGUUCAAAGCCCUGGGCUCCUGGACCGUAGGACACGAUGACAGUAGUCUUUGAGAGUGUCCUUGUUUUGUAGGAUGUCACGAUAUACAUCCGCUGCCCCAGACCUGGAAUCAGCCAUUUCUCUAAGGAACCUCAGUUCCCUUUACUGAGAAAUAUAUUUAGAAACCAGAAUCUGGCCUCAAAGGAAACAGCUCACUUCUUCAGGGCUGGUUGCUAUUUCUAGUUCCCUUCCGUGGACAGAGAUGAGAGAAAGAACACCAGGAGAGGAACAGAUCUUGGAAGGUUCCCCUAGGCGCAGGGAUACUGGCAGGCUGAGUGCCCGCCUCACAGGUGCCCACCGGGCUGUCCCCUGGCACCACAUGAGGACCAUGCCAGCUGCUGACUUCCUCCCUCCAGCCAGCCACCUGAAUGAUGCCAGGGAUGUUCCCCUCCUGUAGACCUGCUGCCCCAGCCACGGGGAUGGGCACCCGAGGGCUCUGCAAUCUUCAUGCCAGGACUUGGCAGGUUGAACGGAGAAGAUAGAAUCCAGAUGUAUUCAAUGAAGCCAGUCAUUCAAGAGGUUUUUAAAAACGUAAAGCAAUACUACUCUUUUCACUAAUCUCUGCAGUGGAAAAAACAGUUAUUUUUUCAUAAAAAGUAUCUUGCUCUUA